GUAGGUGGCAAGCGUUGUCCGGAAUUAUUGGGCGUAAAGCGCGCGCAGGCGGUUCUUUAAGUCUGAUGUGAAAGCCCACGGGCUCAACCGUGGAGGGUCAUUGGAAACUGGAGAACUUGAGUACAGAAGAGGAAAGCGGAAUUCCACGUGUAGCGGUGAAAUGCGUAGAGAUGUGGAGGAACACCAGUGGCGAAGGCGGCGUUUCUGGUCUGUAACUGACGCUGAGGCGCGAAAGCGUGGGGAGCAAACAGGAUUAGAUACCCUGGUAGUCCACGCCGUAAACGAUGAGUGCUAAGUGUUAGGGGGUUUCCGCCCCUUAGUGCUGCAGCUAACGCAUUAAGCACUCCGCCUGGGGAGUACGGCCGCAAAGGCUG
rnacentral:rRNA from 1 species